ACUCCUACGGGAGGCAGCAGUUAGGAAUUUUGCGCAAUGGGCGAAAGCCUGACGCAGCAAUGCCGCGUGAGUGAUGAAGGCCUUCGGGUUGUAAAGCUCUUUUAGUCAGGAAAAAACAAAUGAUGGUACUGACAGAAACAGCACCGGCUAACUCUGUGCCAGCAGCCGCGGUAAU
rnacentral:rRNA from 1 species